rnacentral:rRNA from 1 species
UACGUAGGGUGCGAGCGUUAAUCGGAAUUACUGGGCGUAAAGCGUGCGCAGGCGGUUCGUUGUGUCGGCGGUGAAAUCCCCCGGGCUUAACCUGGGAACUGCAUUGGUGACUGCAUUGCUGGAGUAUGGCAGAGGGGGGUGGAAUUCCACGUGUAGCAGUGAAAUGCGUAGAGAUGUGGAGGAACACCGAUGGCGAAGGCAGCCCCCUGGGCCAAUACUGACGCUCAUGCACGAAAGCGUGGGGAGCAAACAGGA